CGUGUAGGCGGGAAGGAAAGUCAGAUGUGAAAUCCCCAGGCUCAACCUGGGAACUGCAUUUGAAACUCCCUUUCUUGAGUACCGGAGAGGAAAGUGGAAUUCCUGGUUGUAGAGGUGAAAUUCGUAGAUAUCAGGAGGAACACCAGUGGCGAAGGCGGCUUUCUGGACGGUAACUGACGCUGAGACGCGAAAGCGUGGGGAAGCAAACA
rnacentral:rRNA from 1 species